rnacentral:lncRNA from 1 species
GAGGGUGGCUGUGCUAGAAGCCUCAGCUGGACUGGAUAUCAAACUAGAAUGGGACUGGGAAGAGGAGUGUGCUCGGGCUGGGACCAUGGGUAACAUGAAAGAGAGUAUUUGUUUCUCUGGAAAACAUCGUCUCAAGUUACAAGCCAAGCUGCCUCUAGAUGUCCCUUUUCAACUCAUUCGAAAAAAAAUACAGGGCUAUGUCCAAACCUCAAUGUUGAAAGCAUUUAGGAGGAUAUCCAAUUCACAGCCCACAGGCCCACUUCCAAGAAAAGAAACAAAUAAUGCAAAUGAUUACCUAUUAUCUUUUGCUCUGACAUCUCUCAAGCAAGUCUGGAGACCUUCUUUCCUCAUUCUGAAACCACAUCUCAAACUUCUGCCUAGCACGCUCUCCGCCCAGGCUCCUCAAUUCCCGUCUCUGACAAAGCCAUGCUUUGCUGCCUCUCUGAGGGAGUGACUCUGGGGACCUGUCCCUGCCUAUUUUGGGGUAGCCUGAAGAUCCAGCAGCUGCACGUCCUCUGGUCCUUUGCUCAUAAAGACAGCUGUGGCCAGUGCUCCUUGGAAAGCUGGGCUCUGUUCUCACUUUGAUUGCUUUUCUUAUGGGAAAAACUCCUAAACCUCUUUCAGAAAAAGAUAUCCACCUUGCACCUAAGCAAAACCUUCUGGGGUUGAUAAGUGAAAAUAAAACAGCCUCAGAGUUGUAAAUGAUUCACACAUUCAUGCAGAGUUCUGUAUACG